AGCCAUGUCUCCCAAAUAUACUGCCCUAAUUUGACAAAAGGAAGCAACUGACAAUUUUGUCAAAAUUGAGUUAUUGCUUGUUUUAGGGUAUUUGAGAUAUGCUCUACACAAUGGUGAACAAAACAAGUCUUCUCCGAGUACAAUUUGAAAAUAUUUAUACCAGAG